AUCAAUAAGCGGAGGAAAAGAAACCAACAGGGAUUGCCCCAGUAACGGGGAGUGAAGCGGCAGCAGCUCAAAUUUGAAAUCUGGCCCCCCACGGGGCCCGAGUUGUAAUUUGCAGAGGAUGCUUUUGGCGAGGCGCCUUCCGAGUUCCCUGGAACGGGACGCCAUAGAGGGUGAGAGCCCCGUCUGGUCGGACGCCGAGCCUCUGUAAAGCUCCUUCGACGAGUCGAGUAGUUUGGGAAUGCUGCUCUAAAUGGGAGGUAUAUGUCUUCUAAAGCUAAAUACCGGCCAGAGACCGAUAGCGCACAAGUAGAGUGAUCGAAAGAUGAAAAGCACUUUGAAAAGAGGGUUAAACAGUACGUGAAAUUGUUGAAAGGGAAGCGCUCGUGACCAGACUUGGGCCCGGCGGAUCACCCAGCGUUCUCGCUGGUGCACUCCGGCGGGCCCAGGCCAGCAUCAGCUCGUCCCGGGGGACAAAGGCGGGGGGAACGUGGCUCCUCCGGGAGUGUUAUAGCCCACCGCGCAAUGCCCUGGGGCGGGCUGAGGACCGCGCGUACGCAUGGAUGCUGGCGUAAUGGUCACCAGCGACCCGUCUUGAAACACGGACCAAGGAGUCGUCUUCGUAUGCGAGUGUUCGGGUGUCAAACCCCUACGCGUAAUGAAAGUGAACGCAGGUGAGAGCUUCGGCGCAUCAUCGACCGAUCCUGAUGUUCUCGGAUGGAUUUGAGUAGGAGCAUACGGGGCCGGACCCGAAAGAAGGUGAACUAUGCCUGUGUAGGGUGAAGCCAGAGGAAACUCUGGUGGAGGCUCGCAGCGGUUCUGACGUGCAAAUCGAUCGUCAAACAUGGGCAUGGGGGCGAAAGACUAAUCGAACCUUCUAGUAGCUGGUUUCCGCCGAAGUUUCCCUCAGGAUAGCAGUGCUGAUCUCAGUUUUAUGAGGUAAAGCGAAUGAUUAGGGACCCG
rnacentral:rRNA from 1 species